GCCGGAAUGGUGGAAUGGUAGACGCAGAGGACUCAAAAUCCUCCGGUGGCAACACCUUGUGGGUUCAAGUCCCACUUCCGGUACCA
rnacentral:tRNA from 1 species